rnacentral:rRNA from 1 species
GGCCAAUUCUGCACUGUGCAGUUUGCCGGUGUCGAGUUUGGUCAUCCGUAGGGGAAGCUAGUUCGGCCUUCACUGGUCGGCUAGGGGAACCUACAAUUUACUGUGAAAAAAUUAGAGUGUUUCAGGCAGGCAAUCGCUUGGAUACUCCAGCAUGGAAUAAGGAUUUCUCAAGAAAUCUAGUUUUAAGGCUAAGGAAAUUUUUAUCUAUUCUCCUAUCCUUUGACUUUUCUACUUGUCGUUCGACUUUACUUUUGAUAUCCAUUCCCUGUCCAUUCUCAAAGUCUGGUCAUUGUAUUUCAUGAAAAUCCAUAAUGGAAUAGGACUUUGGUCUAUUUAUUGGUUUGAGAUCAAAGUA